GGUUUGUAGGCAGUGUAAUUAGCUGAUUGUACUCUCAUGCUUACAAUCACUAGUUCCACUGCCAUCAAAAC
rfam:Ovis aries breed Texel chromosome 15, whole genome shotgun sequence.